rnacentral:lncRNA from 1 species
AAGAUUAUGUCAUUUUCAUCAUAAAGCAUGAAUCAAAUGGGACUGUAACAAACCUGACAAAUUACCCAUGGAACUUUUGGGAGAGAAACAAGUAGAAACAAAAGAAUCAAAACUAAAUAAACACACUAAAAAAUGAUUAUAAACCUUACAAGAACACCAAUAGAACUGUUGGGGAAAGGAAAGUAGAGGCAAAAGAAUCAAAACUGAAUAACACAAUACAAAAUGAUGAGAAAACCUAAUCAGGUGAGCACAAGAAAAAGGCCACAAGGGCGUGAACUGUUACAACCAAGACCAAAACCUUCUACAUUAACAACCCAAAAAGGGGCCAAAAAUUAACAGACUACCAUUAUAAAUUAGAAAUUCUAAUAAGAUCUAUAUGUCACAAGAUACAUACAGUAAAUCCCAACAACCCUACAAUGGGAAAUCUUUUGUUAUGGACUCAAGAAGGAAGAUGAUUGUGAUCCCAUUUUCAGAUUUUCAGCUAUCAGACACGAACUUCUUCUCCGCAUAAUAUCUCUUUUCGCUUUCUUCCUUCUUCUUGUUACGUUUCUGGGUCAAAAAAGACAAAAUUCAGUAAGAGGAUUGGACAGAAAUACGUGAAUGCCUUUUCAGUGUCGUGCAGCAAACAGUUAUGCUGGUUUCUAUGACCAGAGGAUCUCAUUACACAACCAUAAGAAUGUUAAUGAGGGAAUCUAUUCAUCUAGUUCAUCAUGCAACUAUAAUGAGAAAUUAGCUAUUUCCAAGGAAGAGUAUACAAUAAAACUGUUCAGUAUGGUACAAGGACGUCAUAGUCAACCUUAGGCGUUAGAUGUAAAAUCUAACAAUUAAAAAGAACGUGUGAUUAUCUGCACUCAAUGUCCAAAAAUAAUUCUCGGAUUUUGUGAUACACCUCUAGCCCACUUAUUUUACAUCCGACAACUAGGAGUCCUUGUGAGCUUUUACCAAAAAUAAAUGGUUUCAUAGUAUACAAUCCCGAUUUCAAAUAAUGUAUCACUCUUUGGUUCGAGCUCCUCACUUGGCCUUGAAGGCCUCAGCAUAACAUCCAAGGUUUAAAUCUCACAAGAGAGAGAGAGAGAGAGAGAGAGAGAGAA